GACGAACGCUGGCGGCGUGCUUAACACAUGCAAGUCGAACGGAAAGGCCCUGCUUGCAGGGUACUCGAGUGGCGAACGGGUGAGUAACACGUGGGUGAUCUGCCCUGCACUUCGGGAUAAGCUUGGGAAACUGGGUCUAAUACCGGAUAGGAGCCAUCUUUAGUGUGGUGGUUGGAAAGUUUUUUCGGUGUAGGAUGAGCUCGCGGCCUAUCAGCUUGUUGGUGGGGUAAUGGCCUACCAAGGCGGCGACGGGUAGCCGGCCUGAGAGGGUGUACGGCCACAUUUGGACUGAGGUACGGCCCAGACUCCUACGGGGGGCAGCAGGGGGGAAUAUUGCACAAUGGGCGCAAGCCUGAUGCAGCGACGCCGCGUGGGGGAUGAAGGCCUUCGGGUUGUAAACUCCUUUCGCUAGGGACGAAGCUUUUUGUGACGGUACCUAGAUAAGAAGCACCGGCUAACUACGUG
rnacentral:rRNA from 1 species